UACGGAGGGUGCGAGCGUUGCUCGGAAUUAUUGGGCGUAAAGCGUACGCAGGCGGCUCGGCAAGUCGAGUGUGAAAUCCCGGGGCUCAACUCCGGAACUGCAUUCGAUACUGCCGGGCUUGAGUGCGGGAGAGGGAAGCGGAAUUCCUGGUGUAGAGGUGAAAUUCGUAGAUAUCAGGAGGAACACCGGUGGCGAAAGCGGCUUCCUGGCCCGGUACUGACGCUGAGGUGCGAAAGCGUGGGGAGCAAACAGG
rnacentral:rRNA from 1 species